rnacentral:rRNA from 1 species
CCCUUAGAUGUUCUGGGCAGCACGCGCGCUACAAUGGUCUUCGCAAACGGAUGCAUUCUCGAAGGAGAAUGCCAAUCUUGGAAUCUAUGCCUUGGUCGGGACAGUUGCUUGCAAUUUUUCGACUCGAACCAGGAAUUCCUUGUAAUCGUGAUUCAUCACAUCACGAUGAAUACGUCCCUGCCCUUUGUACACACCGCCCGUUGCUCCUACCGAUCGAAGAGUUAGGUGAAUUGUUUUGAUCGAUAAGAUUUGACUAUGGUCAACUCUCGUUGUGAAAUUCUGUGAAUCUGACUGUUUAGAGGAAGGAAAAGUCGUAACA